rnacentral:rRNA from 1 species
UACGUAGGGUGCAAGCGUUAAUCGGAAUUACUGGGCGUAAAGCGUGCGCAGGCGGUUCUAUAAGGCAGAUGUGAAAUCCCCGGGCUCAACCUGGGAACUGCAUUUGUGACUGUAGAGCUGGAGUGCGGCAGAGGGGGAUGGAAUUCCGCGUGUAGCAGUGAAAUGCGUAGAUAUGCGGAGGAACACCGAUGGCGAAGGCAAUCCCCUGGGCCUGUACUGACGCUCAUGCACGAAAGCGUGGGGAGCAAACAGG